rnacentral:rRNA from 1 species
AACGAACGCUGGCGGCAUGCCUAACACAUGCAAGUCGAACGAGACCUUCGGGUCUAGUGGCGCACGGGUGCGUAACGCGUGGGAACCUGCCCUUAGGUUCGGAAUAACUCCCCGAAAGGGGUGCUAAUACCGGAUAAUGUCUUCGGACCAAAGAUUUAUCGCCUUUGGAUGGGCCCGCGUUGGAUUAGCUAGUUGGUAGGGUAAAAGCCUACCAAGGCGACGAUCCAUAGCUGGUCUGAGAGGAUGAUCAGCCACACUGGGACUGAGACACGGCCCAGACUACUACGGGAGGGAGCAGUGGGGAAUAUAGGAAAAUGGGCGAAAGCAUGAUACAGCAAUGCCGCGUGAGUGAUGAAGGCCUUAGGGUUGUAAAGCUCUUUUAACCGGGAUGAUAAUGACAGUACCGGGAGAAUAAGCACCGGCUAACUACGUG